AUUCAUUAUAACCACGAGUGACUUGAGACCUGACUUGGACUCUAGCUCAAAGACUUGUGAGCAUCUCUGGUGAGCAGUGAAGUUUGCAUCGCAUCACUCGGGUCUUCAAUACAUGACUUCAAGACAUGGCUAUUUGGAGAAUUUCAUAGGUGGACAUCUCGAUAGCAGAGCUGUGUGUUUAGAUGGGACCGGUAAGAAUGAAUGGCUCUUGUUUUGGCCAAUGUAAUCACCUCAGGGUGCAGAUGACAAGCUCUGAAUACUAAAUUGUUUCAGCAAGCUUUUUUACUCUGAACCAUUUUUCACAUUAUGUAUGUUAGUACUUUCUCUUUAACAAAAAUCCUUGACAUUAGUGUAUACCAAUUUCUCACAACAUCCACACACAAAAUUAAAUGUAUCUACUAACUCGUUUUGAACCAGAUGAUGCCACAGUAAUUAUAUAUUUUAAAUUAAUUUAGGUUUUUGAUGAUGCAUGCCAGACCAUAGAGCGUAAGAGAACAAUAGCCUGAACAUGUCAAAAUUAGGUAUCAAAGUAACUGAACGGAAACAACAAAAAAAACACACCAGACGAUGUCUGUCACUUAUGGUUGGUUGUGUGAGAUUGACACUUCCAAUAUGAGCAGACUGAAAAAUUGACUGAGAAAAACUCCAAUCAUCUCAUUUCACACAAUUUGUUAAAAUCUCAUCAUAUUCCAGUAUUAUAAUGUCUCUGGCAUGUGCACCAACUUUAUGUGGUGCACUGACAAGAAGUUAUUUUCAAAGGUAGGCUAUUCAUUUGCAGAUGUAGAACAAUUUGGGGCUUAAAGAGGACAUUUUUAGUAGUUUGUAUAAACUGUGAUUUGAAAUCAUUAAUAACAUAGUGGAGUAAUGGUGAAUAUCAAGAGAAAGAGAAAAUGGGAAAUCACCUGAAGGCAGUAGAGAUAAGCGAAAGGGUGCUUUACUGUUAAAAAAUCAUCAGUUACCAAAAUCUUUUAACAAACAUUUACACAUGGUAAGUUCAUGGCAUACGGACGAUAUAUACAGAAAGCAAUGUCCGAUGAGGCUUUUCAGAGGAGUGAUAUGUUUAGUUGUUUUUGAGCUCCUCAAAUAAACCAGUGCUCAUAAGAUGGAGGAAUCUGUUGCCUCAACACUGACUGUGAUUGUGUUUGUGCCACCUACAAAUGAAUCCAGAAAAGUCACCUACAGUACAUAAAAAUACCACCAGUGUGUCAGUCACACUUGUCACAGAGGCAAACCAUGUUAAAAACAAAUGUAUCUAUCACAGAACAGUGCAGAUACAACAAUAGUUUCACUCACCCUUCCCUGUUCUCAUCUUCAUCUGCGUUGGAGAGGAGCUGCGAGCCAGCCAGCGAGAGGUCCAGAGCUGCGAGGGGCAGAUCUCUGUAGCCAAAACUCACCAGCUGGACUGGAGGAGCCAAGCACUGGUUCUCGUCCUCCACUGGCUGGGAGAUGAUCUCCAAGUCCGACAGACCUGCCUGCUCCACUUCCCUGGUUACAUGCCAACACCAGCAACAGACAGACAAAAGACACAUGCACCAGGUUUUGACAAGGAAGAGGAAUGUCCAUCCAUCCAUCGUCAACCGCUUAUCCUGCGUACAGGGUCACGGGGGGCUAGAGCCAAUCCCAGCUGGCAUCGGGCGAAAGGUGACAACAACUCACAGGACAAUUUAGGGUCAGUGCCACCCUAGGAAGAGGAAUGUGUGAAAUAAAAUAUCUUGUCCAUUGCAAGUCAGACAUUGUUAAAUGAGUGCAAUGCUAAAUCUUCUAAUGGUAGUCUCUUGCAAGGUAAACAAUGUACUCAAAAAUAUAAAAAAUUACAACAAUUCUGAUGCUACAAAAUAAAUAAAAUCACAAUA